CGGUGGAGCAUGUGGUUUAAUCGAAGCAACGACGAAGAACCUUAACCUAGGUCUUGACAUCCCGAUGCUAUUUCUAGAGAUAGAAAGUUACUUCGGUACAUCGGUGACAGGUGGUGCAUGGUUGUCGUCAGCUCGUGUCGUGAGAUGUUGGGUUAAGUCCCGCAACGAGCGCAACCCCUAUUGUUAGUUGCCAUCAUUCAGUUGGGCACUCUAGCGAGACUGCCGGUAAUAAACCGGAGGAAGGUGGGAUGACGUCAAAUCAUCAUGCCCCUUAUGACCUGGGCUACACACGUGCUACAAUGGUUGGUACAACGAGUUGCGAGUCGGUGACGGCGAGCUAAUCUCUUAAAGCCAAUCUCAGUUCGGAUCGAAGUCUGCAACUCGACUUCGUGAAGCUGGAUUCGCUAGUAAUCGCGCAUCAGCUAUGGCGCGGUGAAUACGUUCCCGGGCCUU
rnacentral:rRNA from 1 species